AACGAACGCUGGCGGCAGGCUUAACACAUGCAAGUCGAACGCCCCGCAAGGGGAGUGGCAGACGGGUGAGUAACGCGUGGGAACAUACCCUUUCCUGCGGAAUAGCUCUGGGAAACUGGAAUUAAUACCGCAUACGCCCUACGGGGGAAAGAUUUAUCGGGGGAGGAUUUGCCCGCGUUGGAUUAGCUAGUUGGUGGGGUAAAGGCCUACCAAGGCGACGAUCCAUAGCUGGUCUGAGAGGAUGAUCAGCCACAUUGGGACUGAGACACGGCCCAAACUCCUACGGGAGGCAGCAGUGGGGAAUAUUGGACAAUGGGCGCAAGCCUGAUCCAGCCAUGCCGCGUGAGUGAUGAAGGCCUUAGGGUUGUAAAGCUCUUUCACCGAUGAAGAUAAUGACGGUAGUCGGAGAAGAAGCCCCGGCUAACUUCGUGCCAGCAGCCGCAGUAACAC
rnacentral:rRNA from 1 species